UACGGAGGAUGCAAGCGUUAUCCGGAAUGAUUGGGCGUAAAGCGUCCGUAGGUGGCUAUGUAAGUCUGCUGUUAAAGAGUGAGGCUCAACCUCAUAAGAGCAGUGGAAACUACAUGGCUAGAGUGCGUUCGGGGCAGAGGGAAUUCCUGGUGUAGCGGUGAAAUGCGUAGAGAUCAGGAAGAACACCGGUGGCGAAAGCGCUCUGCUAGGCCGCAACUGACACUCAUGGACGAAAGCUAGGGGAGCGAAUGGG
rnacentral:rRNA from 1 species